rnacentral:rRNA from 1 species
AAUGAACGCUGGCGGCAGGCCUAACACAUGCAAGUCGAACGAGUGGCGGACGGGUGAGUAAUGUCUGGGAAACUGCCUGAUGGAGGGGGAUAACUACUGGAAACGGUAGCUAAUACUGCAUACCAUCAGAUGUGCCCAGAUGGGAUUAGCUUGUUGGUGGGGUAACGGCUAACCAAGGCGACGAUCCGUAGCUGGUCUGAGAGGAGGACCAGCAACACUGGAACGGAGACACGGCCCAGACUCAUACGGGAGGGAGCAGUGGGGAAUAUUGCACAAUGGGCGCAAGCCUGAUGCAGCCAUGCCGCGUGUAUGAAGAAGGCCGUCGGGUUGUGAAGUACUUUCAGCGGGGAGGCGUUACCCGCAGAAGAAGCACCGGCUAACUCCGUGCCAGCAGCCGCGGUAAUUC